rnacentral:misc_RNA from 1 species
GAUGAAGAACGCAGCGAAAUGCGAUAAGUAAUGUGAAUUGCAGAAUUCAGUGAAUCAUCGAAUCUUUGAACGCACAUUGCGCCCGCCAGCAUUCUGGCGGGCAUGCCUGUUCGAGCGACAUUUCAACCCUCGAGCCCCCCCGGGGGCCUCGGUGUUGGGGGACGGCACACCAGCCGCCCCCGAAAUGCAGUGGCGACCCCGCCGCAGCCUCCCCUGCGUAGUAGCACACACCUCGCACCGGAGCGCGGAGGCGGUCACGCCGUAAAACGCCCAACUUUCUUAGAGUUGACCUCGGAUCAGGUAGGAAUACCCGCUGAACUUAAGCAUAUCAAUAAGCGGAGGA